AGGUCAUCGAAAACCGGGCCAUGAAGGAUGAGGAGAAGAUGGAACUGCAGGAGAUGCAGCUGAAGGAGGCCAAGCACAUCGCUGAGGAUUCAGACCGCAAAUAUGAAGAGGUGGCCAGGAAGCUGGUGAUCCUGGAAGGAGAGCUGGAGCGCUCGGAGGAGAGAGCUGAGGUGGCCGAGAGGUAAAGAUACCCGGGGGUGGCAAGUGAGCCCAUUGGCCCUGGGGCCUUCCACACAGUGGGAAGGUAGUGUCCUAGGCUUGGGGCUGUAGGGACAGGCCCUGUCGUCUGACCCCUGCCCGCUGCCCCCAGCCGAGCCAGACAGCUGGAGGAGGAACUUCGAACCAUGGACCAGGCCCUCAAGUCCCUGAUGGCCUCAGAGGAGGAGGUAGUGACCCCUCUGAACCUUUCUGGGCAAUGGCGCCUUCUCUCAGCUCACCUUCCCUCCAUCUCAGCACCACAGGCUGCUCUUUCUCAGCUGCUGGGGAUCAGGAAGGGCCUGGGGCUUCUGAGCCCUGCCUGCUGUCACUCUCACAACUUUGCUCUUCUCUUCUCUCCUCCACCCAUCCCCCGCUGUGCCAUCUCCACUGUCUGGCUUCGCUGUGCCCUCACACCCUGCCCCCCCCCGCCACACACCCCCUGCAGUAAAUGUGGGGACCUAGAGGAGGAGCUGAAAAUUGUUACCAACAACUUGAAAUCCCU
rnacentral:sRNA from 1 species